rnacentral:sRNA from 1 species
GCUGGGUGUGGUGGCACACACUUGUAAUCCUAGUGUCUCAGGAGGCUGAGGCAGGAGGAUUGCAAGUUCAAAGCCAGCCUCAGCACUUUAGCAAGGCUCUAAUCAGCUUUUGAGACCCUGUCUCAA